rnacentral:misc_RNA from 1 species
AGCAGCCACGGUAAUUCCAGCUCCAAUAGCGUAUAUUAAAGUUGUUGCAGUUAAAAAGCUCGUAGUUGAAUUUCGGGAUCAAUUAAUUGGUCGUGCCUAUGGUACGUACUGAUUUUAUUGGUUUCUCCCUUCUGACGAACCAUGAUGUCAUUAAUUUGGUGUCGUGGAGAAUCAGGACUGUUACUUUGAAAAAAUUUAGAGUGUUUAAAGCAAGCUAACGCUUGAAUACAUUAGCAUAGAAUAAUGAAAUAGGACGUUUGAUCCUAUUUUGUUGGUUUUCUAGGAUCAACGUAAUGAUUAAUAGGGAUAGUUGGGGGGCAUUAGUAUUCAAUUGUCAAAGGUGAAAUUCUUGGAUUUAUUGAAGACUAACUACUGCAAAAGCAUUUGUUAAGGAUGUUUUUAUUAAUCAAGAAUGAAAGUUAGGGAAUCGAAGACGAUCAGAUACCGUCGUAGUCUUAACCAUAAAUUAUGCCGACUAGGGAUCAGAUGAUGUUAAUUUUUUAAUGACUCAUUCGGCGCC